rnacentral:rRNA from 1 species
ACUCCUACGGGAGGCAGCAGUGAGGAAUAUUGGACAAUGGAGGCAACUCUGAUCCAGCCAUGCCGCGUGCAGGAAGACUGCCCUAUGGGUUGUAAACUGCUUUUAUACAGGAAGAAACACCUCUACGUGUAGAGAUUUGACGGUACUGUAAGAAUAAGGAUCGGCUAACUCCGUGCCAGCAGCCGCGGUAAUACGGAGGAUCCAAGCGUUAUCCGGAAUCAUUGGGUUUAAAGGGUCCGUAGGUGGAUAAUUAAGUCAGAGGUGAAAUCCUGCAGCUUAACUGUAGAAUUGCCUUUGAUACUGGUUGUCUUGAGUUAUUAUGAAGUGGUUAGAAUAUGUAGUGUAGCGGUGAAAUGCAUAGAUAUUACAUAGAAUACCAAUUGCGAAGGCAGAUCACUAAUAAUAUACUGACACUGAUGGACGAAAGCGUGGGGAGCGAACAGGAUUAGAUACCCUGGUAGCUACGA